rnacentral:rRNA from 1 species
CACGUAGGGCGCAAGCGUUGUCCGGAAUUAUUGGGCGUAAAGAGCUCGUAGGUGGUUUGUUACGUCCGCUGUGAAAUCCUAGGGCUUAACCCUGGGCUGCAGUGGAUACGGGCAGACUAGAGGUAGGUAGGGGAGAAUGGAAUUCCUGGUGUAGCGGUGGAAUGCGCAGAUAUCAGGAGGAACACCAAUGGCGAAGGCAGAUCUCUGGGCCGUAACUGACGCUGGAGGAGCGAAAGCAUGGGGAGCGAACAGG